GAUGAACGCUGGCGGCGUGCCUAAUACAUGCAAGUCGAGCGAACGGACGAGAAGCUUGCUUCUCUGAUGUUAGCGGCGGACGGGUGAGUAACACGUGGAUAACCUACCUAUAAGACUGGGAUAACUUCGGGAAACCGUAGCUAAUACCGGAUAAUAUUUUGAACCGCAUGGUUCAAAAGUGAAAGACGGUCUUGCUGUCACUUAUAGAUGGAUCCGCGCUGCAUUAGCUAGUUGGUAAGGUAACGGCUUACCAAGGCAACGAUGCAUAGCCGACCUGAGAGGGUGAUCGGCCACACUAGAACUGAGACACGGUCCAGACUCCUACGGGAGGCAGCAGUAGGGAAUCUUACGCAAUGGGCGAAAGCCUGACGGAGCAACGCCGCGUGAGUGAUGAAGGUCUUCGGAUCGUAAAACUCUGUUAUUAGGGAAGAACAGAUGUGUAAGUAACUGUGCACAUCUUGACGGUACCUAAUCAGAAAGCCACGGCUAACUACGUG
rnacentral:rRNA from 1 species